CUUAGCUUAGUUGGAAAAGCAGAGGACUCUUAAUCCUAAGACCGUGAGUUCGAGUCUCACAG
rnacentral:tRNA from 1 species